GACCUUUGACAUCAUUUCCUCCAGCUGAUCCUCAUCAGGAUGUAGAUAUAGGAGUCUGUGUUUCUCAUUGCCUACUACUUCUCUUGGCACUGUAAACCAUUAUGAUCAGACUCAUAAUUAGUCUGAAUUUCCUGCUUUACUGGACUCCAGUUUUAACUGAAGACAAUGUAGUCACCCAAAUCCCCAGUGUCGCCUGGCAUCUGAAAGGAGAAUCUGCUGAAAUAAAGUGCAGUCAUAAUAAAGAUUUUAAUUAUAAUCAGAUGUACUGGUACAUCCAGCGACAAGGAGAGAGUAUGGAGCUCAUCGUGUACACAACAGCCAGUAGUAAAGAGUUUGGCUCUGUUGACAAAAAUAAAUUUUCGACUGUUAAAGAAAUUGCCCAAAAUGGAUCAUUAACUGUGAAGAAUCUGGAUACAGGGGACAGCGCUGUAUAUUUCUGUGCAGUAAAAGAACACAGUGUUACAGAGCUACUGUACUGCUGAACAAAAACACCUGCACAGAUGUUGCUGCAGUAACAACACACAAAAGAAGUGCACAUUUAAUAAAUAAUUAUUAUAA